CCAAUGCUAGUUACAGAUUCUUGCGGGUUCAUUCAUCUGACAAAAAUUGAAUAAAGGUUGGGGUUAGGGAAAAUAAGAGGAAGAAUAGUCAAGUCAGAGGCGGUGCCGACGGGAGAAAAUGUCGAAGAAGAAUAAUUUAGCUCGUAGAAAAAAGCAGCACGAAUUCGAUCUCCAAAGGGAGAAGGAAGAGAAAGAAAAGAAGGCUAAGAGGCUUCAAGUGAAGAAGAAUAAGAUGAAGGGAGGUUUUUGUUGAUGGCUGUUAAGUGCAAGUGUGCAAACAGUGUGUUAAGAGGUCGGCAUACUUUCUUGUGAACGUUUAUGCUAGCUAUGGCCUGAAGAAGUUCAAUUUGGUAUAGCAGCUUACGUUUCUUCUUUCAACAGUAAGUCAACAACUGUAAUGCUUUUGGUAGACAGAAUGAUAGCUAUUACCUAUACUAUGACUAAUGGUAGACAGAAUUUAUGGAAAAAGCUAGACAUUUGAUGAAUAAUUUGGAAAGAUGGAAACUGUUAAGUUACAAAGAUAAUUGAUGACGACAUUGGAUUAACAAGUUUAGCACCCACCUGUUGCAUUUUUGUGAUAUUACUAAAUGGUAGUUUGGUAGUAGUUACUCGAAGUGGCUACUGGUCAGUUGAAGGUUUGAGUCAAUUUUGACUCUCCUCCCAGUUUACUACACAAAUUGAUCUGCUUAGCAAUGAAUAAUUUGGGUUAGUCAUGUUUAUAACUUUACAUUGAGGUGCAUCCGAAAUUGUAGAAGUGGAGUUCCCAUGUGAUUGAGGAGGCCUCUUCAUCAUCUGCAAUAAUGAAGGGGCCACUUAUUGUAGAUGCAGUCAAAUUAUUAAUGCGUGCCUACUGGCUACUGGUCUGUAUCAUCUUUCUCUGCUGCCCGGUGAGUCUGUACUACCGUACUGGGCCUUGAAAUUUGUGAGGUCCCAAGUUGAGCUCAUGCCAGAAGAUUAUUCAAUGAAAAACAGUGUCCUUUCUACUUUCAUAUCCAUACUCUGUCACCCCUGGCUUAGGAACAAGAAAGAGGAAACGGAAGGUGCGAGGGUGAGAUGAAAAUUUGAAUGGUGAUAGCACGGAAAAAAAAAAAACUGUUCAAAGCUGUAGAUUAGAAUUUUUGACUUAACCAUUGAACUGAAUGAAGGAAGCAAACAAUCUUGCAAGCUUUCAUGUCAAUUCCACCGUUGACCCAAUUAAUCUUGGGAAAUUCGCAUGGUUCCUCUCUGACAAUUAUUUUCAGGUUAGGUGAAAUUUUAGUACUUGAGAGUAAAUUUGGCCAGAAAAAAGAAAGUGUAGUAAUUGCCACUAGAUUUGACAUUGGUACUAUAGUGUCUGGACCUGCCGACUAACAUCCCAAGUUUUGCAGCUUGAAACAAAAAAAUGGUGGCCUAAUUGUCCUUCUUACGUGGAACGGUCCUCCAACGGUUGUUUCAAAAUCAAUACUGAUGGAUCCUCCAUUGGUAAUCUAGAAGCUGCAGGAUCGGAGGUCCUCUUAUUCGUGUGAUUCAAGAAAGUGGUAACUGGGUCUCGGGCUUUAUCACAAGUCUGUUGCUGCAAUAGUGUUAUGGCGGAACUCUGGGCAGAUUUGCAAUUGAGUCAACUAUGGUCUACAGAGAAUAGACAAAAGCCACCAACAGGUCUUAUUUUGUCUGAGGAUGGAUUGAUGUUUUGUCAACAUCACCAUGCCAUUUCUUCCAAGAAAUACCAUUAGUAUUUG